GACGAACGCUGGCGACGCGCUUAACACAUGCAAGUCGAACGGAAAGGCCUGCUUUCCCUUGUGGAUUGCGGGUACUCGAGUGGCGAACGGGUGAGUAACACGUGAGUGAUCUGCCCCCAACUUGGGUAUAAGCCUGGGAAACUGGGUCUAAUUCCCGAUAGGACUGCAGGGUGGUGCCUGUGGUGGAAAACGAUUUUCUAGUGGUUGGGGAUGAGCUCGCGGCCUAUCAGCUUGUUGGUGGGGUAAUGGCCUACCAAGGCGGCGACGGGUAGCCGGCCUGAGAGGGUGGACGGCCACAUUGGGACUGAGAUACGGCCCAGACUCAUACGGGAGGCAGCAGUGGGGAAGAUUGCACAAUGGGCGGAAGCCUGAUGCAGCGACGCCGCGUGGGGGAUGACGGCCUUCGGGUUGUAAACUCCUUUCGACCGCGAGGAAGCCACCUGGUUGGAAGGGUGGUGACGGUAGUGGUAGAAGAAGCACCGGCUAACUACGUG
rnacentral:rRNA from 1 species